GUUGUAGCUCAGUGGUAGAGUGCUUGCCUAGCAUGUGUGAGGCACUGGGUUUGAUUCUCAUCACCACA
rnacentral:tRNA from 1 species